rnacentral:lncRNA from 1 species
CUGCUCUCAAAGAAUUUACCAUAAUGCUAGACAAGCCAAAUAUACAUGAAAAUAAACUUUAAUCAAAACACGAACUGAAUAAUAUCGUACUUAGUUCUUUACAUCAUUCUCAAAAGGCUGAAUACUGAUACAAGGUGAGUAGUUUUAAUCAUUACUGAUUUCAUAAAGUACUUGAGUUUUGAGUAGGAUUUUGAAGGAGUGGAAAGACACUCCACUAAAGAGAUAUACAGUGGACCUACCAGAAGGAAUGGAUGUAAAAGGUGGGCUUGACAAGUGUACAUGGCAGAAAAGAACAAAGUCUGAAUUGACACUGAGAAGUGCUGGCUUCUAUUCUUAACAACCAAGGAGGGAAGACUUCGGAGCCUCAUUUACUCCUCAGCAAAUCAGGCCUAAAGGACCUCUAGCAUCAUGUCUGGCUCCAAAAUUCCACGGAUGUGUCAUUUUAACAUCACUGGUGAUUAUGAAAGCAAAUAUUUUCUCUGUACAAGUAAGAGUGGAAAGUGUAGCAUCUUAGGAACUGAUAACUUUCACAUGAGGGUGAUGAGCCAGGAUACAGAGUCACACACGGAAGGAAUUUAGGAGCCAUUUAAAGUUUGGGAGCAGGAAAAUAAAAUGGUUAAGUGUCUAUGAUGUUUGAAAAUCCUGGAAAACACAUAAUAGAAAGCAAUCAUUUACUGAUACCAAGGCAGAGAGAGUCUAGACAAAUUAGGGCUGGGUGAAUGUCUUCUAAAGUUCAUUAUUCCUAUAUAGUUUUGCUUCUGAUUGACACUAGAACAUGACUGACAGAAUCUCCUAUUCUGGGUUAGAUGGCUGUGAUUUAAACAUCUCAGCAUUUUCCCAGAAGAAUCAGACUCACAAAAUGAAAGGAUCCAACCAGAAGUUUAUUGUGUAGUAAUUACACAUCUUAACUCCCCUUCAACCUUCACUACACUGCACUUUCACUACUCAUCAAUGCGGGCAGGAAGGACGGGUGCAGCCAGACGAGAACAUUUAAGAAACAAGCAAUUUGUGUGUGUCUAUAUAGUUCAGUGAUGCUACUGCAAGGGAAUACAAAACCAGGCACCAGGCUCUGGAAAGAAAGAGACGUUUCCCAAUCUCAUUUUUCCCAUCGGCGCUGCCGGAAAUAGCGAUUGUAGGCAGCAUCGUAUCCGUAAACCAUAGCAUAGCGUUCGCAAAGUUUGAAGUCCUCACAGGCUUCCCGGUUGAGCUCAUGGGCAGGCUCUUCAUGUCUCUCUGUGGUCCUGUGGGUCGUUCUCACUGUCUUGUGCGGCAGCAGUGGGGAGGGAGGCUCCUUCAGGCCGUGAGUGAAAGGCUGUGGAGUUUUUAUAUGAACCAGAGCAGCUGAAAGGGGAGGAACCAGUGGGAGGAGGCCCGAGAAGGUGGGGACUGGUUGGCACUAAACUAGCACUGGGACGUUUCCCAAAUAUUC